UACAUCCCAGGACUCCCA
rnacentral:misc_RNA from 1 species